CCAGGUUUUCCCUUUUAGUGCUUGUCUGUGCUCUUCUUUGCGCCUUUACUGAAGCUAGGAAGCUAGUGGAAGCACAUUAUGCACUUGGUGAGGAGAAAGAAUUAUUCCCUUUUGUCCCAGAUUUUGGUAGUGGACUAGGUUGGCCUGGUGCUGGUGCUGGUGCUGGUGCUGCUGGUGCAGGUGGAGGUGGAGGUGGAGGUGGGGGUGGAGGUGGGGGUGGCAAAGGGGGUGCUGGUGCAGGUUUUGGAGGUGGAGCUGGGUUUGGGUCUGGAAAGGGGGGGGGAGGUGGAGGUGGAGGCGGAGGCGGAGGCGGUGGGGGAUCACUCGGUGGUGGAUAUGGAGGAG
rnacentral:lncRNA from 1 species